rnacentral:lncRNA from 1 species
AGAAACCGGGGUGGGGGAGGGGUCAGCAUCAGCCCAGGCAGGACUGUCCUGGGGAGCCCCUCCUGUUCUCAGGCAAGACUGGGAAAUCCCAGCCCUAGGGCCCUGGAGAGGCCCUCACCCGCUCUGCUUUCACCCAACCCGACUGACACGGAGUAGGAGGUGGGAAUCAUGCAGGCAGGGAGCUUAGGAAGCCUGGUUUAAGAUUGCUUUGAAUGGCAGGCCCCCUGCUGUGCUCCUGGGGAGAGAGCCUGAAACCUGGAUGCUCGGGAGCCCCUCAGAUCCGUCAUCUGUCCCCGACACCCCUGUGGUGAGCCUUGCCACUGGGCCCUGAGAAGCUCAGAGCAGUCGAGUCAGGGCAGUGGGACAUGACCCAGGUCAGAUGUGGCUUUUCCGUAAUUGUACACCAAUGAUCAAGAGAAAAUGAAGGAUUUUAAUAUCACACACCUACACUUGAUGGCAGGGAAAUAAUUAUUUCCUGCAGAAUGGGCUGCAAAUGUAACAAACCCCCUGACCUUCAGUCUGAAGAGAGAGAACUAUCAACCACACAGAAGCAAAGAUCCAGAGAAAUACUGAGGGAUGCUACCAGACACUCAACCAGGGCCACUCUCCGAGAUUCCAGCCAGCCACACAGCAAAGAUGCUGGCCGGGGACACUGCCCCAAACCACCAGACAGAACCCCAAAGAAACAGCUCCACACACAGUGGAAGAUACACCAGAGACUGUUAGAAGGACCAUCAGACAAAGCCAAAGAGACAGGUAGAUGAAACCAGAUAACCAGCCAGAGAGGUGGUCAGAGAACAGCGACACAAUCAAAGGACCCACCAGAAACACUGUAAAGGACUCAGCUAGACCCAGGCAGAUACACUGCCGAAGGACGAGCAAGGAGCACAGGCAGUGAAGCCGUCGGCGACAAAGCCAGAGAGCUAAGACACUGUCAGAAACAGUGCCAGAGAAACCGUCUGACACACAAGCAGAGAAAUACCAGAGAAACUGAUAGACGCAAACAGGCGUACACCCAGAAAAACAGCUUGAGAGAAGAGCCAGAGCCACAGCCAGAUGCUCAGUCAGGAAGUAUCCACACCACUCCAAACACUGCCAGAGACACUGUCAGACACACAGUCAGACACACUGCCAGAGACACCGUUAUAAAGACUGCCAGAGAAACAGCCAGACACACAGCCAGAAAAACUGACAGAGACGCAGUGCCAGAUAUACCCCGAGAAAGUGCCAGAGACUCAGCUCCAGACAGUGCAGACAUAGCAUAACAGAGACAAAUGUGGGUAUCAGCCUGAAGCAGCUGCGGAGAGGCUGGAGAGCAAUGAACUUCCUGGGGCUUCCUGUGGGAGAGGGCUCCUGCCUGCCUUUUGCUACCCUUGACCCUCUCCAGGAAAGUCCCCUCCUCUGAGCCUGCUUUUCCUUUCCUCCCUGUCACAGCCACAGGUGCCCUGACUGCCCCUCCCUGGCACAGUAAAUCUCUCUGUGUCCUAAGUGGC